UACAGAGGGUGCAAGCGUUAAUCGGAAUUACUGGGCGUAAAGCGUGCGUAGACGGUUGCGUAAGUCAGAUGUGAAAGCCCCGGGCUCAACCUGGGAAUUGCAUUUGAGACUGUGUAGCUAGGGUGCGGAAGAGGGAAGCGGAAUUUCCGGUGUAGCGGUGAAAUGCGUAGAUAUCGGAAGGAACACCAGUGGCGAAAGCGGCUUCCUGGUCCAGCACUGACGUUCAGGCACGAAAGCGUGGGGAGCAAACAGG
rnacentral:rRNA from 1 species